CAAAGCUUGAAGACUGGCCCUUUGAGCUAACCCAGUGGUGUGGGGGUGGGGGAAAAUAAAUAAAUAAUUUUUUAAAAUGAACAAACUAGGAUAUUUUGUCUCAUACUUACAGUGGACGACCUUGAUUUUCCACUUCUUUUCAGGGAUGAGUCAUAUGGUGAUAGAAAAUGCCCUCGACCUGGAGGAGCAGUUUGCUCAUCUGGACCUGAACGCCUCUGAUAAACAGAGUGGAGGAGGAAGUACAGCAAGCCAAGAGUGCUAUAUACCUCCUCACUUAAGGAACAAGGAAGCAUCUAAAGGAUUCUAUGAUAAAGACAGUUCAGGUUGGAGUUGUAGCAAAGAUAAGGAUGCAUAUAGCAGUUUUGGGUCUCGAGUUUCAAGAGAAAAGCCUGGUUAUUUCAGUGAUUAUGGAAGUGGAUCAAGGGGAAGAUUUGAUGAUCCUGGAUGGAGUGACUAUGAUGGUAUUGGCAGUCAUGGUGACAGAACUGGCUUUGGCAAAUUUGAACGGAGUGGACACAGUCCGAUAAAGAUUAUUGGUCAAAACCGCUUCCACCAAGUGAAUGCUUGGAGUAGGUACUCUUUUCUGGAGGAAACACUGGGAUUAACUUUGAGAAAUGUGAUGACAUACCAAUAGAGGCAACCAGCAGUAACUGUCUUCCACAUAUUGAAAAUUUCAGCAAUGUUGACAUGGGAGAAAUUAUCAUGGGGAACAUUGAGCUUCUUACUCACUAUACUCAUCCUACUCCACUGCAAAAACAUGCCAUUCCUAUUAUUAGGGGAAAAAGAGACUUAAUGGCUUGUGCCCAAGCAGGGUCUGGGAAAACUGCAGCAUUUCUUUUACCCGUACUGAGUCAGAUAUAUAUAGAUGGUCCAGGAAAAGCUUUGAAGGCUGUGAAGGAAAAUGGAAGGUAUGGGUGCCAUGAACAAUACCCAAUCUCCUGGGUUUUAGCCCCAACAAGAGAAUUGGCUGUACAGAUAUGAGGAAGCCAGAAAAUUUUCAUACCAGUGUAGAGUUCAUCCUUGUGUAGUUUAUGGUGAUGCUGAUAUUGGUCAACAAAUUCAAGUCUUGGAACAUGGAUGCCACUUGUUAGUAGCCAUGCCAGGACGUCUAGUGGAUUUGAUGGAAAGAGGAAAGAUUGGAUUAGACUUCUGCAAAUACUUAGUGUUGGAUGAAGUUGAUAGGAUGUUGGAUACGGGAUCUGGACCUCAGAUACAUUGUAUACUUGAACAAGAUACUAUGCCACCAAAGGGCAUUCAUCACAUCAUGAUGUUUAGUGCCACUUUUCCUAAGGAAAUACGAUGCUUGCUCGUGACUUUUUGGAUGAAUAUGUAUUUUUGGCUGUAGGCAGAGUAGGCUCUACCUCUGAAGUAGUUUGGGUGGAAGUAGUUUGGGUGGAAGAGCCAGAUAAACGGUCAUUUCUGCUUGAUCUCUUAAAUGCACCAGGGAAGGAUUCACUGACUUUAGAGUUUGUGGAGACAAAAAAGGGAGCAGAUUCUCUGGAGAAUUUCUUAUACCAUGAAAUAUAUCCUUGUACUAGUAUUCAUGGAGACCAAUCACAGAGAGAUCAAGACGGAGGCCCUUCACCAGUUUUCCUUGGGGAAAAGUCCAAUUCUAGUGGCUACAGCUGUGGCAGCAUGAAGACUAGACAUUUCAAAUGUGAAACAUGCUUCAAUUUUGAUUUGCCAAGUGAUAUUGAAGAAUAUGUGCCUUGUAUUGGCUGUACAGGAUGUGUGGGAAACCAGGGCCUUGCCGUCUCAUUCUUUAAUGAAAGAAAUAUGAAUAUUACAAAGGAUUUGCUGGAUAUUCUUGUAGAAUUUAAACAAGAAGUACCUGCUUGAUUGGAAAACAUAGCUGAUAAACACCACUACAAGGGUGGUAUUCGUGCAUGAUCUAAAAGAUUCAGUGGAGCAUUUGGUGCCAGAGACUAUUGACAACGUAGUGGUUCCAGCAGUUCUGGCUUUAGUAGUAGUCAUACAAGCAGCAGCUGCAGUGGUGGAGGUGGUCAUGACAUCAGCAGCAGAUGUGGUAGAGGUGGCUAUGGAGGCUUCUACAACAGUGAUGGAUGUGUAGGAAAUUAUAACUCUUGUUAUAAGAGUUACUAAGAGCCAGGCGUGGUGGCUCACGCCUGUAAUC